rnacentral:rRNA from 1 species
UCCGUAGGCGGGCUAAUAAGUCAGGGGCGAAAUCCCACAGCUUAACUGUGGAACUGCCUUUGAUACUGUUAGUCUUGAGUUAUAUGGAAGUAGAUAGAAUGUGUAGUGUAGCGGUGAAAUGCAUAGAUAUUACACAGAAUACCGAUUGCGAAGGCAGUCUACUACGUAUAUACUGACGCUAAUGGACGAAAGCGUGGGGAGCGAACAGGAUUAGAUACCCUGGUAGUCC